AUCUGGGAGGCCACAAACCAUGGAAGCUGUACGCAUGGCGUAGUGGACUAGCGGUUAGAGGAGACCCCUCCCUUGCAAGUCGCAGCAACAAUGGGGGCCCAAGGUGAGAUGAAGCUGUAAUCUCACUGGAAGGACUAGAGGUUAGAGGAGACCCCCCCGAAAUAAAAAACAGCAUAUUGACGCUGGGAAAGACCAGAGAUCCUGCUGUCUCCUCAGCAUCAUUCCAGGCACAGAACGCCAGAAAAUGGAAUGGUGCUGUUG
rnacentral:lncRNA from 1 species